rnacentral:rRNA from 1 species
GACGAACGCUGGCGGCGUGCCUAACACAUGCAAGUCGAGCGGAGAUAAGCGGAUGGUAACUGAAGCUUAUCUUAGCGGCGGACGGGUGAGUAACACGUGGGCAACCUGCCUUGAAGUGGGGGAUAACACCGGGAAAUCGGUGCUAAUACCGCAUAACAUACACAAACUGCAUGGUAAGUGUAUCAAAGGAGCAAUCCGCUUUAAGAUGGGCCCGCGGCUGAUUAGCUAGUUGGUAAGGUAACGGCUUACCAAGGCGACGAUCAGUAGCCGACCUGAGAGGGUGACCGGCCACACUGGAACUGAGACACGGGUCCAGACUCCUACGGGAGGCAGCAGUGGGGAAUAUUGCGCAAUGGGGGGAACCCUGACGCAGCAACGCCGCGUGGAGGAAGAAGGUCUUCGGAUUGUAAACUCCUGUCUUCUGGGACGAAUAAUGACGGUACCAGAGGAGGAAGCCACGGCUAACUACGUG